CCCAAAGUAACCGCUAAGUGUUAAAGAACAAAUGGUGUCUGGCGGCAGAGACAGCUGGGAGGUUGGCUUAGAAGCAGCCAUCCUUUAAAGAGUUCGUAACAGAUCACCAGUCGAGUUUCUGGGCCCAGAAAAUGGACGGGACUAAGCGGUUCACCGAUACUUCGGGCCACCGAAAGGUGAUGCGGUAGAGAGGCGUCGUGCGUGGAUGGAAGCAGGGGCGUGAGUUCCUGUGGACCGCGUUCGAAUGAUAAUCAUGGGAAGAGUAGUAGCGUAGACGGGUGAGAAUCCCGUCCGCCGUAGGGGCUAGGGUUCCUCGACGAUGUUCAUCAGUCGAGGGUUAGUCGGUCCUAAGGUUUCCCCUAACAGGAGAAAUCGAAAGGGAAGCAGGUUAAUAUUCCUGCACCAGUCCGUAUUUUGUCCAGUUCUUGACACAUCGGGUGCGAUGGAGCACUCCUGUCGGAGUGUUGCUGAUCGCGAUAAAGUCGUGGAGAACCGUAAUGGUGAGAAGCGACCUAAGCGGUCGGGAGGCGGAGUAUUUCGCUUCCGUUCUAUCCUGGUGUCCGUGAAAAGGGAGCUGGAGCCGUACUGACUGUCCGUACCGAGAUCUGACACAGGUGCCCCUAGGUGAGUAGCCUAAGGCGUCGCGGCAUAAUCAAGGCAAGGGAAUUCGGCAAAUUGGCCCCGUACCUUCGGUAGAAGGGGUGCCAGCCUUGCAGAAGGCUGGUCGCAGUGACCAGGGAGCUCCGACUGUUUACUAAAAACACAGGUGGCUGCUAGUCCGUAAGGAUGUGUAUAGCCGCUGAAUCCUGCCCAGUGGCGGUAUCUGAAACCCGGUUUCACCCGGACGAAGGACCGCUAAACGGCGGGGGUAACUAUGACCCUCUUAAGGUAGCGUAAUACCUUGUCGCUUAAUUGGCGACUUGCAUGAAUGGCCCAACGAGAGUCCUACUGUCUCCGCGGUACGUCCGGCGAAAUUGACAUUACUGGCGCACAGUCCAGUACCCUCAACCUGCAAGCGAAGACCCCGUAGAGCUUUACUGCAGCCUGGCGUUGUAUAAUCGCACUUCACGUGCUGAGUAGACGGGAGACGUUGAUCCACGGGACGCCAGUCCCGUGAGUAGUCGUCCAUAGAGACACCGUCCUUGGAGUGUAAUUGUACUCACUCUUCAUGAGAACACCGCUUGGUGGGCAGUUUGGGUGGGGCGCCACGCGCUCGAAAACAUAACAAGCGUGCCCAAAGGUCAGCUUAGGUGGUUCAGUCUCCACCGUUAACUGUAAGGGGAAAAGCUGGCUUGACUUGGAUCGGACCAAUAACGAUCGAAGAUGCGAAAGCACGGCCUAACGAACCAAUGUACCUCAUUUCUGGGGGUCAUUGAUAACAGAAAAGUUACCUCGGGGAUAAUUGAGUUGUCACCAGCAAGAGCACACAUCGACCUGGUGGCUUGCUACUUCGAUGUCGUCUCUUCCCAACCUCCUGGUGCAGCAGCUGGGAAGGGUGGGGUUGUUCGCCCAUUAAAGGGGAUCGUGAGAUGGGUUUAGACCGUCGUGAGACAGGUUUGUUGCUUUGCGGUUGAGGCGUGUAAGAUGCCUGAUCGGAAGGGUCCUUUAGUACGAGAGGAACGAGGACUCGGAGCCACUAGUUUACCAGUUGUCCGGCAGGGCAAUGCUGGGUAGCCACGCUCCAUGUGGAUAAGAGCUGAAAGCAUCUAAGCUCGAAGUCACCCGAAAGACGAGGCAUCUCAGGGGACUCGUAGAAGACGAGUUUGAUAGACAGCGGGUGUAAGCACCGAGGUUCGCCGAGGUGUUCAGCCCAGCUGCACUAACCCCCCGAGCAUUCAUUUUU
rnacentral:rRNA from 1 species